UACGAAGGGGGCUAGCGUUGUUCGGAUUUACUGGGCGUAAAGCGCACGUAGGCGGAUCGUUAAGUCGGGGGUGAAAUCCUGGAGCUCAACUCCAGAACUGCCUUCGAUACUGGCGAUCUCGAGUCCGGAAGAGGUGAGUGGAACUCCUAGUGUAGAGGUGGAAUUCGUAGAUAUUCGCAAGAACACCAGUGGCGAAGGCGGCUCACUGGCCCGGUACUGACGCUGAGGUGCGAAAGCGAUGGGGA
rnacentral:rRNA from 1 species